UACCAGCACCCCGAGUGGUCGGGACGAUUAUUGGGCCUAAAGCAUCCGUAGCCGGUUCUACAAGUCUUCCGUUAAAUCCACCUGCUUAACAGAUGGGCUGCGGAGGAUACUAUAGAGCUAGGAGGCGGGAGAGGCAAGCGGUACUUAGUGGUAGGGUAAAUCCGUUUGAUCCAUUGAAGACCACCAGUGGCGAAGGCGGCUUGCCA
rnacentral:rRNA from 1 species